AGAAUUGCCUCAGAAACUGUUUCGCUUGAGUCAGUGAGGGGAGGGCGGAAUUCCUGGUGUAGCGGUGAAAUGCGUAGAUAUCAGGAGGAAGGCCGGUAGCGAAGGCGGCCCUCUGGCACUGAACUGACGCUGAGGCGCGAAAGCGUGGGUAGCAAACAGGAUUAGAUACCCUGGGUAGUCCACGCCCGUAAACGAGUGGAGCGUUAGCGUGUAGGGGCUCAGUAAGGGUUCAUGUGCCAGAAGGGGAAACCAGUUAAAGUGCCCCAGCCUGGGAGAAUACGGGCGCAAGGUUGAAACUCAAAGGAAUUGACGGGGGCCCGCACAAGCGGUGGAGCAUGUGGUUUAAUUCGACGCUACGCGAAGAACCUUACCUGGGUUUGACAUGUUAGUAGUAAAAACCUGAAAAGGGGCUGACCCUGAGGUAACUCAGGGAGCUAACACAGGUGCUGCAUGGCUGUCGUCAGCUCGUGCCGUGAGGUGUUGGGUUAAGUCCCGCAACGAGCGCAACCCUUAUCCUCUGUUGGUCGUAAACGAUCUCUCUGGGGAAACUGCCGGCGAUGAGCUGGAGGAAGGUGGGGAUGACGUCAAGUCAGCAUGGCCCUUAUGUCCAGGGCGACACACGUGCUACAAUGGCUGCUACAGAGGGAUGCAAUACCGUGAGGUGGAGCCAAUCCUUAAAAGCAGUCUCAGUGGGGAUCGGAGUCUGCAAUUUGACUCCGUGAACGCGGAAUCGCUAGUAAUCAUGGAUCAGCCAUGCCAUGGUGAAUACGUUCCCGGGCCUUGUACACACCUCCCGUCACACCACGAAAGCCUGUUGUACCCGAAGCUGGGGAGUUAACC
rnacentral:rRNA from 1 species